CCUACGGGAGGCUGCAGUGGGGAAUAUUGGACAAUGGGGGGAACCCUGAUCCAACCAUGCCGCGUGUGUGAAGAAGGCCCUCGGGUUGUAAAGCACUUUCAGUGAGGAAGAACGCCUGGUGGUUAAUACCCAUCAGGAAAGACAUCACUCACAGAAGAAGCACCGGCUAACUCCGUGCCAGCAGCCGCGGUAAUACGGAGGGUGCGAGCGUUAAUCGGAAUUACUGGGCGUAAAGCGCGCGUAGGUGGCUUGAUAAGCCGGUUGUGAAAGCCCCGGGCUCAACCUGGGAACGGCAUCCGGAACUGUCAAGCUAGAGUGCAGGAGAGGAAGGUAGAAUUCCCGGUGUAGCGGUGAAAUGCGUAGAGAUCGGGAGGAAUACCAGUGGCGAAGGCGGCCUUCUGGACUGACACUGACACUGAGGUGCGAAAGCGUGGGUAGCAAACAGGAUUAGAUACCCCUGUAGUC
rnacentral:rRNA from 1 species